rnacentral:rRNA from 1 species
AGAGUUUGAUCCUGGCUCAGAACGAACGCUGGCGGCAGGCUUAACACAUGCAAGUCGAGCGCUGUAGCAAUACAGAGCGGCGCACGGGUGAGUAACACGUGGGAACGUGCCCUAUGGUUCGGAAUAACUCAGGGAAACUUGAGCUAAUACCGGAUAAGCCCUUACGGGGAAAGAUUUAUCGCCAUUGGAGCGGCCCGCGUCCGAUUAGCUAGUUGGUGGGGUAAAAGCCCACCAAGGCAACGAUCGGUAGCUGGUCUGAGAGGACGACCAGCCACACUGGGACUGAGACACGGCCCAGACUCCUACGGGAGGCAGCAGUGGGGAAUCUUGGACAAUGGGGGAAACCCUGAUCCAGCCAUGCCGCGUGAGUGAUGAAGGCCCUAGGGUUGUAAAACUCUUUCGGCGGGGACGAUAAUGACGGUACCCGCAGAAGAAGCUCCGGCUAACUUCGUGCCAGCAGCCGCGGUAAUACGAAGGGGGCUAGCGUUGUUCGGAAUUACUGGGCGUAAAGCGCGCGCAGGCGGUCCUUCAAGUCAGAGGUGAAAGCCCAGAGCUCAACUCUGGAAUGGCCUUUGAGACUAGAGGACUUGGGUACGGGAGAGGUGAGUGGAAUUCCGAGUGUAGAGGUGAAAUUCGUAGAUAUUCGGAAGAACACCAGUGGCGAAGGCGGCUCACUGGCCCGUUACCGACGCUCAGGCGCGACAGCGUGGGGAGCAAACAGGAUUAGAUACCCUAGUAGUCC